AUUGAACGCUGGCGGCAUGCCUUACACAUGCAAGUCGAACGGUAACAGGUCUUCGGAUGCUGACGAGUGGCGAACGGGUGAGUAAUACAUCGGAACGUGCCUAGUAGUGGGGAUAACUACUCGAAAGAGUGGCUAAUACCGCAUGAGAUCUACGGACGAAAGCAGGGGAACGCAAGACCUUGUGCUACUAGAGCGGCCGAUGGCAGAUUAGGUAGUUGGUGGGAUAAAAGCUUACCAAGCCGACGAUCUGUAGCUGGUCUGAGAGGACGAUCAGCCACACUGGGACUGAGACACGGCCCAGACUCCUACGGGAGGCAGCAGUGGGGAAUUUUGGACAAUGGGCGCAAGCCUGAUCCAGCAAUGCCGCGUGCAGGAUGAAGGCCUUCGGGUUGUAAACUGCUUUUGUACGGAACGAAAAGCCCUGGGUUAAUACCCUGGGGUCAUGACGGUACCGUAAGAAUAAGCACCGGCUAACUACGUGCCAGCAGCCGCGGUAAAAC
rnacentral:rRNA from 1 species